UGAGCGAUCUGCCCUUCUCUUCGGAAUAAGCGUGGGAAACCGCGUCUAAUGCCGAAUACGACCUCCUUUCGCAUGAUCGGAGGUGGAAAGCUCCGGCGGAGAAGGAUGAGCUCGCGGCCUAUCAGCUAGUUGGUGUGGGUAAUGGCCCACCAAGGCGACGACGGGUAACCGGCCUGAGAGGGUUACCGGCCACACUGGGACUGAGACACGGCCCAGACUCCUACGGGAGGCAG
rnacentral:rRNA from 1 species